rnacentral:lncRNA from 1 species
AGAUGGUUGACCUGUACGUGCAGGUUUAUUAUUGCAGAAUUGCUCUAGUGUAUCAAUUUCUGCCAGCUUGUUUUGUUUGUUUGACACGGGGUUGAUGACGGUCUGAUGAUGGCUGAGUCACUGCUACUGAUUUCCCACAUCUUACUCUUCCUUUCCCACCUCCUGAAAGGCAUCAGAAGCAACUUUGGGAGAAGAAAGAAACACCAAAGGCUUUGCAAGCCCAGGGCAAGGAAGGAAGGGCCUGCAUGCCCCGACUCCCUCCAAGCUCAUGUGUGCACACACACGUGCCACAGUGCUGCAGCUAGAAAAGGACGGAACAACCCUCAGACUGGAAUCUCAUGGGUUUGCAAUGGCGCUACAUCCGUAAAUACCAAACACUUAAAAAAGAAAAAGAAAAAAAAAAAGUAGGUCCAGAAAGCCAAAAGCUCAGGAACAAUGGACCCGCUUCCUAGAGGAUGGAAACCCAAAGGAGGUGGCAUGCUAAGGCAAUAAAGCACACGAGAAGUAAUGAGGGCUAGAGGAA